rnacentral:lncRNA from 10 species
AACGGAAACUUCUAUUCCUGUUAUUUGACUGUUAGGUUUUCUGGGUUAAUCCUUUCUCUCAUGUCUUGCUUUUGCCCAUAAUUUUUAUUUCCUGAUCUCUAUUUGCUAUCUUUGUGGGAAGGAAACUGGGAUGAACUUUAUAUUCAUGGAAAGAUAAAGUUCCAUAGAAAUUUUUACUUUGCGUGCUCUAGCUUUAUUUAUUAAGAGCUCUUCUUUCCUCACUGAUUAAUAAAUUCUUGUUUUAUGGAUACAUUAUCUUCUCAUAUCUUUCCAAGGAUGUUAUGUUAAGGUUGUUUUAUGGAUGCAUUAUCUUCUCAUAUCUCUCCAAGGAUGACAUUUAGCACAAAUCCCUUCCUUUCCUUUCCCUUUCUCUUUCUCUUUCUCUCUCUUUCUUUCUUUCUUUUCUCCCUUUCUGGCUCUGUCUUUCUCUUUCUUCCUCCCUUUGUCUCUCCUUUUUAAAAAAUUAACCCAAACUUUGGCAUAUUGAGAAAUAAUGUGGGAAAAGAGGUAAGGCAGAUGAAAGACCAAGAAACCACUUUUAUUAAACAAUUGAAGAGUCAGGUAGAGGAUGCAGUUUAGUCUAAGAGUCCAGUGGGCCUGCAAACUCAACCCCAGAACUGGGAAACUUAGGCAGCCAAUCACGGGCAAUGCUGAACUGGGACAGGACUCCUCCCAUGGUACGACUGUUCUCACUGAGGGGUAGAAAAAAACAUGCUCUGUCUUGGAAAGACUCACUCCCAGGAGGAAAGGGUGGAGCUGAACUAAGUCUGACCGGUUCUUUCUCCCAGACUCACCUUUACUGCCCUGUGGGAGAGGCUAGUGGGAGGGUGGGCAAGGCCAGAGCGUGUCCUGCCUCCAUGUGGAGGGAGAUACGGGAAGCUGGCAUUUCUGAGAUGAAAGAAGUGGGCCCUGCCAUUGAACAGAAUUUAUGCAUUUAAAUAUUCAUCAUUUCUGUGAAAAAGAGAAGAAAAAUUAGGUGAUGACGUCAGUCCAUGCUUCGGAAAUAGUUGUUUGCGAGGGAAGACGGCUCAACCAGCAAACACCUAAAGGGCUUUUGAAACUCUCUAAAUACAAGUUUUUAGAAACGACGAGGCAUUGAAAACUUACCACAUGACCUUGUGCAAGUUGCUUAACACCACUAAGCCGCCCUGUCUUCUCAGUUUUAAUCGGGGAUAAUAUUGCAUCCUCUUAAAGAGUUUUUUUGAGAGGAUUUGAUGAGAAACUAUGUAAGUCACUUAGUAUGCUGCCUGGAAUGUAGCAAGAACUUGAUCAAUGAUAAACUAUUAUGGAAGUUUUUUUGUUUUAUUUUUUUUAAUCUUUAUCAAUUAGUUGUGAUUCUUUGAUCCUGUACCCUUCAACUUCUUUUUUUUUUUUUUUUGAGACAGAGUCUCACACUGUCGCCCAGGCUGGAGUACAGUGGAGCGAUCUCGGCUCACCGCAACCUCCGCCUCCCGGGUUCACGUGAUUCUCCUGUCUCAGCCUCCCGAGUUCCCGAGUAGCUGGGAUUACAGGCACACGCCACCAUGCCUGGCUAAUUUUUGGUAUUUUUACUAGAGGCGGGGUUUCACGGUGUUGGCCAGACUGGCCUCGAACUCCUGACGUUGUGAUCCGCCCACCUCCACCUCCCAAAGUGCUGGGACCACAGGCGUGAGCCACUGCACCGGCCACCCUUCAACUUCUUUAAAAAGUCAUGUUGGUUUGGUUUCAUUUCAAACUAUUCUAUCCCUCUUUAAAGGUAUUUGAAUGUAGAACAUUGUUAAGAAAAUGAACGAGGAUCUUUUCUACAUGAGCGCCAUAUUCUAACAAACUUAUCAAACUGCACUGGUGUUAUGUGUGAUAAGCCACAAGUCUGGGAAUCCUGGCACUAGAGCUGUCCAAGGGCUGCUGCUGCUGGUAUAAGCAGCUGUGAAUCUCCAGGUGAUCUACUAGUGCCCCGCUCCCUAAAGGAGGGAGGUGCAGGAUUUUCUCUACUAAGGGAAAGCAGCCAGGAGAAACCAUCUUACUCUCCCUGGAGCAUUGGGAGAGCAUCAGGCGUGUUCCAUGGACAGUGAGAGCCAAUGAAAGCAUAAUCUACUCACUGCAUCCUGGGGAUCGCUGAGCUUAUGCCCUUGAGCUUCAUAGAUGGUGACUCCCAGAAUCUCUCUGCAAUGUCCUUGGAGAAUGGCUGUUGGGUGAUCGAUGAUGCAGGAACUUCACAGUUGUACAGAGCUGUGUAGUCCUCCCAGGGAGGUUCAGAGACUUGCAAUAGUCAAAGUACAUGACUUCUUGGAGAGUAAACGACAAUAACAUAAGAAUGUGUGAGGG